rnacentral:rRNA from 1 species
UACGUAGGGCGCAAGCGUUAUCCGGAAUUAUUGGGCGUAAAGAGCUCGUAGGCGGUUUGUCGCGUCUGCCGUGAAAGUCCGGGGCUCAACUCCGGAUCUGCGGUGGGUACGGGCAGACUAGAGUGAUGUAGGGGGAGACUGGAAUUCCUGGUGUAGCAGUGAAAUGCGUAGAGAUCAUGAGGAAGACCAGUGGCGAAGGCGGGUCUCUGGACAGUUCCUGACACUGAGGCACGAAGGCCAGGGGAGCAAACGGG